rnacentral:rRNA from 1 species
GGUUAAGCGACUAAGCGUACACGGUGGAUGCCCUGGCAGUCAGAGGCGAUGAAGGGCGUGCUAAUCUGCGAUAAGCGCCGGUAAGGUGAUAUGAACCGCAACAACCGGCGAUACCCGAAUGGGGAAACCCAGUGUGACUCGUCACACUAUCAUGCAGUGAAUACAUAGCUGCAUGAGGCGAACCGGGGGAACUGAAACAUCUAAGUACCCCGAGGAAAAGAAAUCAACCGAGAUUCCCCCAGUAGCGGCGAGCGAACGGGGAGGAGCCCAGAACCAUCAUCAGCUUGUGCAUCAGUGGAAGCGUCUGGAAAGUCGCAGGGUACAGGGUGAUACUCCCGUACACAAAGGUGCACAGGUUGUGAGUUCGAUGAGUAAGGCGGGACACGUGGUAUCCUGUCUGAAUAUGGGGGGACCAUCCUCCAAGGCUAAAUACUCCUGACUGACCGAUAGUGAACCAGUACCGUGAGGGAAAGGCGAAAAGAACCCCGGCGAGGGGAGUGAAACAGAACCUGAAACCGUGUACGUACAAGCAGUGGGAGCCUUCUU